GGUCGAUGUGUUAGCAGGAUUAAUAACGACUGCAACAUAUACCUCGUGUAUAUCAUCAUAUGAAUAUUUUAACUACCGACCGUAAACAAGUCGUGUCUCACUAAUCUUUUCACACGUACUUCUUUAAUCAAAUUGAAAAAAAAAAACAACAACAACAACGGCAAAAUGCGCGUUAAGUGAGUAUGUCCGUUGUUGAAAAGAACUUCGUUCUCGAAUAUAUACUCUAAACAAUCAAAGUUUAUUUUGUUUGAAACGGUCUCGAGACGGCUCAUUUACACUCGGAGGUUAAUGUCGAAAAAAAAAGAAUACAAGUGUCAGCUUUAAAAGACUUUCCGAACAAUAUCUUUUAGACGCAGAUUCAACUUUGCCGCCACUGAAAAGUAAAAUUUGAUCAUUCAUUCAAAAUUGCCGCUCUUGUAAAAAGAGCUAUUAAUGGCGCCUUAAGCUUGGACCUACAUCGCCUACGUCCUAAACCAGCAUUGUAGUAUUAUAUACAUAUACGUAUGUACACGUCAUCAACUCUAUAACACGACACACGCGUAUUUUCCUACUUGGAAAAUGUUUUUGUUUCCGUUCCAUCCAAUUCAUAAUGACGUAGGUGAAGGCGAGGGCUUACGAAUAAUUGCGCUAAAUAUGACCUUUUCAUGUACCUAGAUCAAUAUUGCGAUCGAGAUAUACAACGACAUAGUGCUAGAGAUUUUUCCAGGGUCGAAAAUUCAAUUACGCUAAACAUGUAUAUUGUAUAUGGGCAUUGAAAAGUAAGCAGAAACGGUGCUUUAUAGCCAGUAGGUAUACAGUGCUACUGAUACAUUUAU